rnacentral:tRNA from 1 species
GUGCAACUAGCUCAGUUUGGAUGGAGCAUCGGUUCUGAAAACCGACGGUCACUGGUUCGAAUCCAGUGUUGUCA